GAUGAACGCUGGCGGCGUGCCUAAUACAUGCAAGUCGAGCGAACAGACGAGAGUGCUUGCACUCUCUGACGUUAGCGGCGGACGGGUGAGUAACACGUGGGUAACCUACCUAUAAGACUGGGAUAACUUCGGGAAACCGGAGCUAAUACCGGAUAAUAUUUAGCUUCGCAUGAAGCAAUAGUGAAAGACGGUUCUGCUGUCACUUAUAGAUGGACCCGCGGUGUAUUAGCUAGUUGGUGAGGUAACGGCUCACCAAGGCAACGAUACAUAGCCGACCUGAGAGGGUGAUCGGCCACACUGGGACUGAGACACGGCCCAGACUACUGCGGGAGGCAGCAGUAGGGAAUCUUCCGCAAUGGACGAAAGUCUGACGGAGCAAUGCCGCGUGAGUGAAGAAGGUUUUCGGAUCGUAAAACUCUGUUGUAAGGGAAGAACAAGUACGUUAGUAACUGAACGUAGCUUGACGGUACCUUACCAGAAAGCCACGGCUAACUACGUG
rnacentral:rRNA from 1 species